CCGUAGGUGAACCUGCGGAGGGAUCAUUACUGAGUUAUCUAAACUCCAACCCUAUGUGAACCUUACCGUCGUUGCCUCGGCGGGCUGCGUCUACCCUGCAGCUACCCUGUAGCUACCCGGUAGGCGUGCUACAAGCCCGCCGGUGGACCACUAAACUCUGUUAUAAAUACUGUAUCUCUGAAUGCUUCAACUUAAUAAGUUAAAACUUUCAACAACGGAUCUCUUGGUUCUGGCAUCGAUGAAGAGCGCAGCGAAAUGCGAUAAGUAAUGUGAAUUGCAGAAUUCAGUGAAUCAUCGAAUCUUUGAACGCACAUUGCGCCCAUUAGUAUUCUAGUGGGCAUGCCUAUUCGAGCGUCAUUUCAACCCUUAAGCCUAAGUUGCUUAGCGUUGGGAAUCUGCCCUGUAUUACGGGGCAGUUCCCUAAAGUUAUCGGCGGAGUUAGGGCAUACUCUAAGCGUAGUACUAUUAUUCUCGCUUCUGCAGUUGUCCCGACGGCUUGCCGCUAAACCCCUAUAUUUUCUAGUGGUUGACCUCGGAUUAGGUAGGAAUACCCGCUGAACUUAAGCAUAUCAAUAAGCGGAGGAAAUCACUAGUGAAUUCGCGGCCGCCUGCAGGUCGACCAUAUGGGAGAGCUCCCAACGCGUUGG
rnacentral:rRNA from 1 species